rnacentral:misc_RNA from 1 species
UUUUCCUAUAAGUGAUCCAACAUUUCAAGUACUAAUCAUGAUUCUCCUCUUAUCCUGUUCUUUCCUAAUUGAUAUUCUUUUAUGAUAUCUUCUAUUGCUUUCUAUGCCUAUCUUGUAUUCUGUUCACUAUCUGUUCUAUGGACCAACUUUUUUAUCCACACCUGUCUAUAAUGUAGGAAUUCUUGCUCAUUUAACACUACACCUAAGUGCCGGCAUGACGCGUCGCUUUCGG